UACGAAGGGGGCUAGCGUUGCUCGGAAUCACUGGGCGUAAAGCGCACGUAGGCGGUCUUUUAAGUCAGGGGUGAAAUCCUGGAGCUCAACUCCAGAACUGCCUUUGAUACUGAGGGACUUGAGUCCGGGAGAGGUGAGUGGAACUGCGAGUGUAGAGGUGAAAUUCGUAGAUAUUCGCAAGAACACCAGUGGCGAAGGCGGCUCACUGGCCCGGUACUGACGCUGAGGUGCGAAAGCGUGGGGAGCAAACAGG
rnacentral:rRNA from 1 species